ensembl:lncRNA
UGGGUCCUUGGAGGAACUGACGGACAGCUGCCUUGCUCAACAGUUGAGGAUCAGUUGAGCAUAUGCUAGAAAAUAUGAUUAUAUGUCAAUCAUCUUGCCCUGUAAAUAUGAAACAGCUCAGAGUGCAUUGAGCUCCUUCCUGAAUGACAGUGGGCUGCAUGACAGGAUUGUCCCUUGAGUAAGGAUGCCUCUGAAGGUUAUGUCUGCUGCAGAGAUCCCUUACACCUUGAUGUCAAGAGAUUCCUUGCUGCCACUAAUCCUUGCCCCCAACACAAGGACAUGGAGCUGUUGGAGCAGGUCCAGAGCAAGGCCAUGAAGAUGAUCAGAGGGCUGGAGCAGCUCCCCUUAUAAGGACAGGCUAACAGAGCUGGGGCUCUUGAGCCUGGAGAAGAGAAGGCUCUGAGGAGACCUUAUAGCUGCCUUCCAGUAUCUGAAGGGGCCUACAGGAAAGCUGGGGAGAGACUUUCAUAAGGACAUGUAGCAGUAGGAUGAGGGGAAAUGGUUUUAAACUGGAAGUGGGUAGAUUUAGAGUAGAUAUUGAGAAGGAAUUCUUUUGUGAGAGUGGUGAGACACUGGGGCCGGCUGCCCAGUGAGGUUGUGAAUGCCCCCUCCAUGGAAGCAUUCAAGGCCAGGCUGGAAGGGACUUUGUGCAACCUGGUCUGGAAGGAAGUGCCCCUGCCUAUAGCAGGGGGUUGGAACUAGGUGAUCUUAAAGGUCCCUUCCAACCCAAACCAUUCUAUGAUUCUACGAUUCAAAAAGGAAUCCUUAGAAUUAUCAAGGGUUUAUUAUUAAGGAUUGCACAAAAAAGUUAUCUGAUGAUAUCAGUUAAAUCUCUGUAGACAAACAAAAUGCUUUAAGAAUCUUAGUAAUGGCACAAAAACCCUGUGAUUCUGUGAAAAAAACUAACUGUUUUUUUUAACUUUUACAUGUGUCACAGCUUCAUUUUUGCUAAUAGACCUAAAGGAUGAAGUCUGAGGAAUUAGUCCUUUCACAGGUAACCUACAAAUAAGUGAAAAUCUUCAUUACCAGAGUGCCAGUCCUGGACGUGACUUCUCUUUUCACUUAAAACUGAAAAUGAUUUGCACCAAAGUUCCUCUUUUGAUUUCCCCCCUGAAACAUUAAGAGGAACACUGGUACCCAGAGGGCAAGAUAAAGACAGCUGUGCUGACAUUCAAACUGACAAAGCACUGCAGUGGGAAUGCAUUGCCCUGGAGAAAUUUAUGAAAUGUGCAUAUCUAGAUUGAGUAUAUUCUUUUUUAUUGUUUUGGACUAUCUCUGAAGCUGUUGAAAAUGCUUAACUGCUUACCUAUUAAAUGAAUAUGCUUGCCUCUGGGGAUAGCUUCACAUGAAACCAGAGAUCUAGUAAAUACAGAAGUCAAAAUAAAACCCAAGAAAACUAUAAGUGUUCAUUCAACAUAUAUAGUAAUUUGUUUCAGUUGUCCUGAUCAGACAUGGUAAUAACACAGCAUGUACUUAUGCAUCUUAUAUUCUUGGAUUUAUUUUCACUCAGUAGAGUAAUUAUGUGGGGGAUUUCUAUUUUUUACUAGUUAUUGCAUAUAUAUGGAAUUCAAAUAUACUUUCCAGGGGCAGUCCAUACAUUCUGAGAUCAGACAUUCAAAUAAAUGUAUUGAAAGUUGCUUUAUAAGCACCAGCAAUGUGACGCGCUGGGACAGAGCAGCUGGAAGACUGUAGGUUGUUGUGGAAUCAUUUUAAGUGUCCCUGCAUUAAUGUUGAGAAAUGGAAUUGCAUUACCUCAGGUCAGUGACUCAAAAAACCUUUUUCCUUCUGCAUAUGAGAAAUACUUCCAAUAUAAAGAAAAUGAGAAAAGAGAAUAUUAAAUUAAAUGUGCUUUCUUUCCCUCUCUUAAGUUCUUCAUAUGCUCCUACAUUCAGGUGAGAGCUUUUGUUUCUUCAUAAGAAAUGUAUCCUGAGAAAAUUCCCAGAGGGUCUGUUCAGGUCCGGAUGAGAAUGAGUGGUGAAUACACCUAGCUGAGAGGAAAUCUCAUUAGUUUACAGCAGAACACUGCCACCUACAAUAGCAGUGAAGAACAAAUAAGGAAAACACAUUGUCUACCACUGAAUAUCGAUUUUCUGAAUGCAGAUUGUGAUAUGCUAUUUCAAUGGAUUUGCUUUGUCUAUCACCUGUUCAGAAAAAGAUGUUCAUUGACGUGAUCAUUCACAUAUGUUUAUUCAAGACAAAAGACUUUGCCUUUUCUCUGUUACAUCAAAAGGAGCAAUGUGCGUGAUUUGACGCACUGUUCUCCCUUCUCAGAUCACACAUUAAUUUCUUUUUGGGCAGAAUGAGCAGAAAUAAAGAGAAUUGUACGCAUUUCUAUAUUACUAUUUUCCUGAAACACACUGAAAAUAAAUGUUACUUUCCAGUCUCCUUUUAGACAUCUAAUUCUUUAGGUUCUGGGUGGUAGUAACAAUAAUGCAUUCAUCUGUUUUGAUAAGAUAGCAUCCUGUAAAAUUAAAAAUUUAGAACCAUAAACUUGAGAAUUGGGAUUGUACAGCUGGCUUUUGAGGAGAAAAAAACUGUGUUGUUGGGGUUUUGUUUUGCAAGUAACUGUUCAGCAAUAUAGUCCUCAGAAAAUUAAGGGAUCCCUUAACUGCUCAUUUGCAUGAGCAAUUGUAUAGGGCUUAAUCUACACGGCCAAAGCAGAUGUGACAAUGAGUAAGCUGCAGUAUAUCCCAAAAUGGCAAAUCCUGUUUGGUCUCCCAAAGAUGUUGAAUAUUAAUAUGCCACUAGAAUGACAAAGAAAUGAACUUUAGGAACUGACUUUUUAUACUACCCUUCUUUUCACCUGUCAGAGGAGAGCUGGAUGAGGCCCAGUGAUGAGAUAGUGGGAG